AAAGGAACGAGAUCCAGAGGAAUCGGAAACAGUUGGAUGAAUAGCGCUUUGUUUACUCGCACACAACCGCGAGCUCGGAGCUGGGCUGGGGGUGGAACCAACCCGAGGCCGGGCCUCCCCGCCAGGAUUCCACAGGCCACCCCAGCGCCUCCCACCCCCUGAGAAAGCGCUUUGUAAACGAAAUCUCUAUGCAAAUGUUGUUUUAUUAUUAUUACGCCACCCCUGCCCCCAGGGCUGGGGACAUCUGAAGUGCUUUCAAAGGCGCGCUCUGGGGCUCUAACUGGGGCUCUAACUGGGGCAGGCUGUCCCCUUCCCACCCCCAGCCGGGGCCCUGAACUGGCCUUCCCUCCAACUGGACGGAGCCAAUGUUUGCAGAGUCGCACUGGAACCCACAGAACCCGACGGCCUCCUUCCUGGACGCAGCGGGGAGAGGUGGGCAGCGCCCUGCAGGCCCGAGCCGGCCUACAAGAAGGAGCCUGCUGGCUUUUGUUCUCCCAUGACUGUGGCCCCCUCGGCUCCUCCUCCACUGGUUGUUCUUUUGAACUCUGGAUCAGAAAGGAAAAUAGCUGGAGAGAGAGAGAGAGAGAGAGAGAGAGAGAGAGAGAGAGAGACACCUGGUGCCGAGGCGGGGCCCAGGGCCGGGCAGGAAGGGAUCCAAGAGUUUCCAGAAGCCCAGGCCUCCCUCUAGCUUCAAUCCCAGGGAGGGGGGACGGUGGGGGAGGCCGAGCUGGGGGCUGUGGGAGGCUGGGCCACCCAGGCCCCUGGGCCAGACGCCCUAUUCCUGUGCAUGGGUUGGUAAUCCAAGGACACAUUCCGUCUGUCAACACACCAGCCUGGCAGGGCAGGCGGGCAAAUGAGGACACGAAGACUCAGCGAGGCCAAGGGCACACGGGGUUCUUUCUUCCGCUCUGGUGGCCAGAAAGUGUUCCCCGGCAAAAGCUGAGCAUGGAGGAGGCCCCCAGGCCCACUCCUCCCUCCAUCCAGCACCAGCAUCCCCUCCUCUUCGGGUCAAGGUCUCGGCCUCCUCCCGGACUCGCUGUCCAACCUCCGUGUGCCCGGUGCCCAGAGGGUGUGCCAAGGACGUCGCCCAGAAGAGCUCCCCACUCCUGACGUGCAACCAUAGAUUUGGCGCAAGAAUGAUGACGCCCGGCACUCACGGCCUUCGCUUACCCAACAACAUGCCUUCUGGGGUGGGUCCAACCGUCUCCCCCAAAAAGGUAGACUAAAUCCUUACCCCUGGUACCCUGUGAAUGUGACCUGAUUCGGAAAUGGGAUCUUUGCGGAUGUAAUGAGGUGAUGGAUCUCAAGGCGACCAAGCUGGAGUUAGGGUCCUUGCGAGAGAGGAGAGGGAGUUUGGGACGCGCGGAGACGGCCGGGACGCGGAGGAGGAGGCAGGACCCGGGCAGCUGCCGUGGGGCGCUGAGGCCAACCGGCCACCCCCAGAGGCCCAGACAGAGGCGGGGGAUGGUGCUCCCCCGGGGGGUUCCUGAAGGAGCCUGCCCUGCCCACACCACCCUCUCGGACUUGUGGCCCCCGUGAUGGGAGAGAGCACACGUCUGGUGUCUCAAGCCACCACCUCUGCGGCAAUUUGUUACGGUGGCCCCAGCAAACUCAUAAUCCUCCCACCUGGCCAUUCUGUUUCAGAGGACCUCGCUCCUCUGGCAGAUGAGCAAAUAAACCCACAGGGAAGCG
ensembl:lncRNA